UACGAAGGGGGCUAGCGUUGCUCGGAAUUACUGGGCGUAAAGGGCGCGUAGGCGGCUCUGUUAGUCAGGCGUGAAAUUCCUGGGCUCAACCUGGGGACUGCGCUUGAUACGGCGGGGCUUGAGGAUGGAAGAGGCUCGUGGAAUUCCCAGUGUAGAGGUGAAAUUCGUAGAUAUUGGGAAGAACACCGGUGGCGAAGGCGGCGAGCUGGUCCAUUACUGACGCUGAGGCGCGACAGCGUGGGGAGCAAACAGG
rnacentral:rRNA from 1 species